rnacentral:rRNA from 1 species
UACGAAGGGGGCUAGCGUUGCUCGGAAUCACUGGGCGUAAAGGGUGCGUAGGCGGGUUUUUAAGUCAGAGGUGAAAUCCUGGAGCUCAACUCCAGAACUGCCUUUGAUACUGAAAGUCUUGAGUAUGAGAGAGGUGAGUGGAACUGCGAGUGUAGAGGUGAAAUUCGUAGAUAUUCGCAAGAACACCAGUGGCGAAGGCGGCUCACUGGCCCAUAACUGACGCUGAGGCACGAAAGCGUGGGGAGCAAACAGG